rnacentral:lncRNA from 1 species
GUGAAGAUACAUAGAUGAAUAGACAGUGAAGAAUAAAAGUGACUGGCAGAGUAAAUUCAUUGAAAAGGACCAGCCAAACCCAGGUGGCAGAGGUUGUUCAAGGAUGUGAAAAACGAAAAGAUAAACUCUACUGAGUUUACUUUGGCUUGUCAGUUGAUGCUGUGACUUGGAAGGAG